UCCGUAGUCGAAAGGGAAACAGCCCAGACCACCAGCUAAGGUCCCAAAAUAUAUGUUAAGUGGAAAAGGAUGUGGGGUUGCACAGACAACUAGGAUGUUAGCUUAGAAGCAGCUAUUCAUUCAAAGAGUGCGUAAUAGCUCACUAGUCGAGUGACCCUGCGCCGAAAAUGUACCGGGGCUAAAACAUAUUACCGAAGCUGUGGAUACCUUUAUAGGUAUGGUAGGAGAGCGUUCUAUGUGCGAAGAAGGUGUACCGUGAGGAGUGCUGGAGCGCAUAGAAGUGAGAAUGCCGGUAUGAGUAGCGAAAGACAGGUGAGAAUCCUGUCCACCGUAAGACUAAGGUUUCCAGGGGAAGGCUCGUCCGCCCUGGGUUAGUCGGGACCUAAGGAGAGACCGAAAGGUGUAUCCGAUGGACAACAGGUUGAUAUUCCUGUACUAGAGUAUAUAGUGAUGGAGGGACGCAGUAGGCUAACUAAACCAGACGAUUGGAAGUGUCUGGCCAAGCAGUGAGGUGUGAUAUGAGUCAAAUGCUUAUAUCUAUAACAUUGAGCUGUGAUGGGGAGCGAAGUUUAGUAGCGAAGUUAGUGAUGUCACACUGCCGAGAAAAGCUUCUAGCGUUAAUUAUACUCUACCCGUACCGCAAACCGACACAGGUAGUCGAGGCGAGUAGCCUCAGGUGAGCGAGAGAACUCUCGUUAAGGAACUCGGCAAAAUGGCCCCGUAACUUCGGGAGAAGGGGCGCUGACUUAUGGUCAGCCGCAGUGAAUAGGCCCAAGCAACUGUUUAUCAAAAACACAGCUCUCUGCUAAAUCGUAAGAUGAUGUAUAGGGGGUGACGCCUGCCCGGUGCUGGAAGGUUAAGAGGAGUGCUUAGCAAUAGCGAAGGUAUGAAUUGAAGCCCCAGUAAACGGCGGCCGUAACUAUAACGGUCCUAAGGUAGCGAAAUUCCUUGUCGGGUAAGUUCCGACCCGCACGAAAGGCGUAAUGAUUUGGGCACUGUCUCAACGAGAGACUCGGUGAAAUUUUAGUACCUGUGAAGAUGCAGGUUACCCGCGACAGGACGGAAAGACCCCAUGGAGCUUUAC
rnacentral:rRNA from 3 species